AUGGCUGAGAUUGUCAAGUCUGUCAUUGUUGGUGAAGCAGUUAGCCGGAUUAUUUCUGGUAUUGCCCCCACCAGCAAAAGGCCGGACAGAUCAGUUGAAGAAUCAGCAGAGGGUUGUGGCCUAGAGAGGCUGGAGAUGGCGCGCAUCAAAAUGGAGGCCGUGCUCCAUACGUCUGACAAGUGGCAAAUCACCAACACGUCCCUGCUCCAUUGGCGGAAGAAGCUGAAGCGUGCUGCCCAGGACUGCGACGACGUAGCGCGCAGAUGCAGGCAACUCUUUCGGGAAGAAGAGGAGGCGGCGCAGGUGGUAAGGCAAUCCUCAUUUCCUAGACAAAUGGCUCAUGCGACCAGGGUGUUCAUCUCCUCUUUGGUCGGCCGUGACAAUGAUCAUUGCUCUGCGAACAGCACCACGGCCGCUGCCAUCCGAAGAUUUGAGAAGCUUGCAGAUGGUGCAAGUGAAUUCAUGAGUUUUGUACAGCUCGGUGGAACGCCACGGCAGCACCUAUUCUUUGGCCCUCUUAUUGGGCAUGUCUUCAGGGGCAAAUCGCUGAUAUAUCAAAUGUUGCAUCCAGGCGGCCGGUACAGCUUCUUUAGCAUACGGCCGAUUGGUUUCGACGAGGGUGGGCUAGAGGCCAUUCUAUCCUUCAUGUACGAAGACUGCAAGGUGCCCAAAAACAAUUUUGGGCUCGUGGUCAUGCUGCGUAUUUUGGAGAGUACAGACAUAAUCGGGACUACAGUCAAGUGCUUGCGACUGCUAACACCAAACUUCAAGUCCACGGCUGAUAGGGUCAUCAGAGAGAUCAUCCAGCUCCCUACGCAAGAUUUGUCGUGUGUUCCACAUGAGGGACACUUGACCGACAUGCAUAAACUUUUGGUCAGAUGGUUUCGCCCAGAUCCAUUAUGUUGUCAAGGAUACGAGCACGACGUUGUGCCUUCUUGUCACAUCGGUAGCGACAAUGCCACCGAAAACAAAUUAAAAAUUUCUAGCAUAUUUCCUGAACCAGCCUGCGGAGUGUUUUUGUGGCGUCAUAUCUCAGUAUCGGAGUACAGUUACCUGCCAGGAUCAACUGUAGUUCUUGGUCAUGACGACAAGUCUUCAUUGGAGAAUUUCCCAUCUUUGAAGCUUGGAAUUAUGUUCCUGCCUCAUGACUCCUUGGAGGACCCCAAGUCUGAUGGUUCUGCGGUAGAGGUGAUCGAUACAGAGAAUUCGCACCACCUCACAGAUGUAACUCUUCCCCUAGACCAACUCGACAAGAUGCUUAUUCCCAAGGCAACAGAGUAUCUUCAUCAUAAUAUCAAGGCUAUGAUGUACCAAGUAUGUUGGAGGUCUAACCAUGGCAGUGCACAUCUAUGCGUGGAGAAGGCCAUCGCCGAAAAAAGGCCCGAGGUACGCAGAGCUACACGGCAAGGAAGGAACAUCAAGAGUACUAAGGGGCUUUCUCAAGUAAAGCAGGAUUGGCUGGUGCGGUUGCGGAAGCAGGCGGGUGAAUCUUUCCGAAAACUAUGGGUUGUGCGUUCCUCAGAGAGGUUGCAGAGCUCGUUACCACAUGGCUCGAUCGGUUUGAACUGCACUAGUGAUAAAUGA
rnacentral:rRNA from 1 species